GGAAGGGUGGCUGAGCGGUUGAAAGCGGCGGUCUCGAAAACCGUUGUCCCGCAAUCGCGGGACCGGGGGUUCGAAUCCCCCCCCUUCCGCCA
rnacentral:tRNA from 1 species